UCUAACCAAGGCGGUUAAGUCAUAUAUUGACACCGUUUUGUUUUGAGUGUAGUUAAGGAUUUUUCAUAGUGCUCAGUUUAAACGAAAUUAUGACAGAAUCUAAGCGUGAGAAUUUCCAUGUUUGCCGUGAUAUUUUUCUCUCUCGCGAGAAAAAUACACAUUCUCGCUUAUGUAAUCCAUCAUAAUUUCGUUGAACUUAAAAUGCAUGGUGUUUUUUCGUCAUCUAACAUGAAGUGCUUUUUUUCGAUUUUGACCUGACAAAUUUCAAAUUGUUCACACGAAGAAGAACGCCAUAUUUUUCCAUUUUCCUCAAGGCACGCGUUUUCACAAUGUUUUUACGCGGCGGAAUUUUUGAAAAAAUUUUCAUUAAAAAUUGUGAAUUUUCAACAUGUACAUAAAUUUCCUAAUUUUUAACCGAUUUCAAGAAUGGAAGAACGUUUUUGCACAGAAUUACAUUAAUUAAUGCUAAAUCUUUACUUACCACAAAUUUUAAUUUUUCAAAAUUUAUUGUUUGUUACUUUAAAAGUUUUUAGAAAAAUAUUUCUACACUUUUAUGGAAGUAAUUUUGAGUUCUUGGAAGCAUCAUGGAAGUUAUAUGGAAUCAUUUUUAUGUUCUUUCGGGUUUAAAGUACAGAGGAUCACAGAUCGUAUUUGCACAUGUUUUAAAAUUGACCUCAAACCUUCACUCUGCGUCGAUGAAUUUACUUCGAUUGUUGAAUGCGUUCCUCAGACCUUUGGCUAACCAGCCUAUAUCGCUGUUUUUCCCAAAUUCAUUACUUUUCCUAUAUUUUGGAGGGCAAUCUUCUUCAACUCGUCUUGAAGAUUUUUCCGAAACACCAAAAAAAACUAGAGCUCGACCGAGAUGAAUCUAUGGUUUUAUUAGUCUAAACCCACUAAAAAUCUACACUGCGACCCGUAAAACAAGGACACCUAUUAUUUUUUUUAAUAUCUCAAAUGACCUCCAAAAUAUUUACACGUUCUUUUCGCCAUUAAGUCCUACGGUGGGUAGUAGUCUUGUCGCAACUUUUGAUCUUGGUUCAUAAUCAUACUACUUGGGAAUCUACAAAAAGUAAAAUUCAGGUGACCCAUAAAACAAGGACAUGUCCCAAAAAACAGGAUGUUUGUUAUUCCACUGGGUGAAAUAAAUUGACUUUGGGCCGGAAAUUAUAUCAUCAGUAAAUAUAUUUGUGAGUAUAAGUAUAAGUAUAUUUGUGAUAUUUUGGUCUAUGGUCGGUGUAAAUUAAACUUUUUCUUAGGCAGGUAUGCCAAGGCGAGGGGUAAAUUCCAGGCCAUGUGGCAAAAUGGUGACAUUCCGUAGUAACGUCCAAGGCCGAGGGGACCACUUCCGUUGGAACACACAAGCAAGAAGGCAUGCCUCAGAUGAUGCACAGAGAAAAAUCCAUCAUUCUCCGUCGCUCAGAAGGAAAAUAAACAAGAAGCGUGAGCUUUUCCGGAAGCACAAAGAUGCUCAAUCGCAGUGGGCAAAAGAUUGAAUGUUGUGGACCCCUGAAUCGAGCAACACCAUAUUUAUGGACAAAGCCGAUUCACAUUGGAUUGUCCUGAGCAGAGCUGGGAGAUUAGUUGAUUUUUUGCUCGGAUUUCGGAUUGGGGAUUGGACACCAAAAUUUUUGGAUUAGAUUGGGGAUUAGAAUUAAGCAUGGAUUCGGGGAUUGGAUUGGUUUCGGAUUAGAUUACUUUACAAAAUUUAUUUGGAUUGGGGAUUAGGGAUUGGCCAAUCUGGAUUAGUUUCAGGAUUGAGGAUUAUUUUUCACUGCUAUUUUGCUUAAUAAAUUUGUUUAACGUUUUUUUAUGAUUUCACCCUACAAAAAAGAAAGUAAAGGGAAUGAAAAAUUGAAAGAAAAUUUGUUAAGCACAUUAAUGUUAAAUUAUCAUAUUAUUACAACAGCACAUUAACCAGUUCAUCAGACAGAGGUUAAUUUUUGUGCAAAAAUAUAGCAGUAUCGAUUAACCAAUUAAUUUCAAGUUUAAGGAUUUUGUGUUAAUGUUUUGUUUUCUAAUUCAUUUUUUAACAAUGUUUUUAUCAUUUCACGUCAAAAAAUGAAGUAAAAGAAACCUAUUUUAAACCAGUUUAAAUCAUUUUUGAGCUGUAAUAACAACACAUUAAGUAGUUAACCGGUUCUGUUUGUGUAAACAAAUUUAAAAAGUCAAAUGCACUGGGUAAUUUUAAGGGAAAUUUGAAACGCGCAGGUGAAAAACAAUUCAAAACUAAUCCAAGAUCUAUGACCAAUCCAGAUUGGGGAUGAGCUUGGAAAUUUUUGCUGGAUUGGGGAUUGAUUUGAAUGAUUUUUUUUCGGGAUUGGGAUUGGUGGAUUAUUUUCAAUAUUUUCAAAGCUUGGAUUAGGGAUUAGGGAUUGACUAAUCCUUAAUCCGGAUUGCCAAUCCACCAAUCCCUAAUCUGGAUUGUCUCAGCUCUGGUCCUGAGAGGAAUAUGUAUCAUUUUCAUGACCUUAGGAAACAAAACCUCACUUUACCACAGACAGCGCGGGGGAGCUGGUGUCACGAUCAGGGGGUUUAUGCAAUGGGGUCCAAUGUCGUGUUGUUCCGACUUUUUUGAACUCACAAGUUUAUCACGUCAUUUCAGAAGAUUAAUUUCUUCCACUAAAACAAAAAUUCGGAAGAAAAAAUGGCAGUCUUAACAAGAUAAUACCCAAUAUAAUGCGCCUCGGUGAUCAAUGAAAUGGUCCCAAGACAACGAUAUCGACAUUCUGCCUUAGCCAUUGAGGUGUUUGGAUCUAAAUCAGAUUGAAAGUAUUUAGGGAUAUUAGUUUAGGGAUAUUAGGGAUGCUAAUACUCGGCAGUGUUCAACAGAUUCCGAACAAAAACAAGGAAUCACUGAUGCACGAGAUUAAGUGCCAAUUAGUGUUGUCAAUAGGCUCGUGGGGUCAAUGAAUGUCGAUUUCUUUCUGAUAUCAAUAAAGUGGGUAGAUAGAUUGAGUAUUGUUGUGAAAAAGAAUUGAUAAAAUACAAAAUUACUGGCUAAAAUGGAAAUAAUUCCAAACCAGUCCUUGUUUUACGAGCCACCUGGUUUUGCCAUAUUAUUAGAUAACUUCUCCACCCCUGCACUAAUUUUAACGAAACUUUGCAACAAGGCUACCAGGCACCGUAGUACUUAAUGGUGAAAGCAACAUAAAAAUAUUUUGACGGGCCUUUGAGAAAUUGGAAAAAAUUUUAGGUGUCCUUGUUUUAC